AUCAUCAACUCAAAAGGGAUGGUUAUCUCUGAUGGUGUCUUUCCUGUCUUGGAGACGCUUUCUCUCAAAAACAUGAUCAACUUGGAAGAAAUAUGUCAUGGCCAAAUUCCCUCGGCAUCCUUCCGUAACCUAAGCAUUAUAAAAGUGUUGAUUUGUGACAAAUUGAAAAAUUUAGUGCCAUCCUCAGUAUCUUUCCAAAAUUUGACAAAUCUGGAAAUAUGUAAAUGUCAUGGAUUAAUUAAUUUAGUUACAUCCUCAACAGCCAAAAGUUUGAUACAACUCAAAAAAAUGAGUGUAAGUGAAUGCGAAAGGAUAACAGAAGUUGUAACAGGGGAGGGAAGUGAAGCGAGUGAGGUGAUUACUUUCACCCAGCUGACAUACUUAAACUUGAUUGCUUGCCAAACCUCUCAAGCUUUUGCUCAAUAAGUUAUUCCUUCGAGUUCCCAGCUUUGGAAGAAGUAAUUGUGAGGCAGUGCCCAGAGAUGAAGACUUUCUCUCAUGGAGCUUUAGGGACACCAAAGCUAGAAAGAGUACAAGCAACACAAGAAGAUGAAUGGCAUUGGAAGGCUAACCUAAAUACCACCAUACAUUGGCUCUGGAAGAGCAAAUAUAAUACCACCACACAAUAGUUCUUUUGAAGAAGAGAAAGGGUUCAGAAUUCUAAAGAUGGAGAUCAUCCUAAAUAUGAAGCAGUGGGAACGUUUCUUGUAAUUGUAGUUUGUGGUACUUGGAAUCAUGUUUCUUUCUCCUGAAAUCACGUGCUCAGAGGGUCGUCAUCCCCAUGGUUAUGGAAAUGUAUGGAGUUCAUUCAUCUUUUGUUUAUUCUGAUAUUGUUUCAUUAUUUUCUUGUUUUUCCACGUUUGGGAAAAUAAAAAAAAAAAAAAAAAAAAAAAGUAGCUACAGUAGCAAUAAUAAUAGAAGUACUACUACUUGUGUGAUGUAUUUAUUUGGAGUGUUAUAAACUACCUCUUCUUGGUGAAGAAAGACCAUAUCGCUAUUUGAAUGAAGUUAUGCUUAUUAUUUUGA